rnacentral:tRNA from 1 species
AGAGGUAUAGCUCAGUCGGUCAGAGCGUCCGUCUUAUACACGGUAGGUCGCAGGUUCGAACCCCGCUACCUCUA